rnacentral:rRNA from 1 species
GAGUUUGAUCCUGGCUCAGAACGAACGCUGGCGGCAUGCCUAACACAUGCAAGUCGAACGAUUGCCUUCGGGUGAUAGUGGCGCACGGGUGCGUAACGCGUGGGAAUCUGCCCCCUGGUCUGGGAUAACCAUUGGAAACGAUGGCUAAUACCGGAUGAGAUCGCGAGAUCAAAGAUUUAUCGCCAGGGGAUGAGCCCGCGUCCGAUUAGCUAGUUGGUGAGGUAAGAGCUCACCAAGGCGACGAUCGGUAGCUGGUCUGAGAGGAUGAUCAGCCACACUGGGACUGAGACACGGCCCAGACUCCUACGGGAGGCAGCAGUGGGGAAUAUUGGACAAUGGGCGAAAGCCUGAUCCAGCAAUGCCGCGUGAGUGAUGAAGGCCUUAGGGUUGUAAAGCUCUUUUACCCGGGAUGAUAAUGACAGUACCGGGAGAAUAAGCUCCGGCUAACUCCGUGCCAGCAGCCGCGGUAAUACGGAGGGAGCUAGCGUUGUUCGGAAUUACUGGGCGUAAAGCGCACGUAGCGGCUUUGUAAGUUAGAGGUGAAAGCCUGGAGCUCAACUCCAGAAUUGCCUUUAAG